AUGGGUGAAAAGGCGUCAGAAUCAUUGCCCCAGGGCCGGGAGGAGGCUCCAAGGAAGCAGGAAGGUGCUGCGGCUUACGGUCCUCCGGCCUUUGCAGAAUUGGCGACAGGAAACAAGGGCCGAGGGGACGUGCGGCAGAAUAAGAUCGUAAUCACAGAGAUGGAUGAGUUUGUGUUGGGCUUACAACUGAAUGCAGAAACACACAAGCGAGAAGCGCAAGAUGUGUUUGCGGACGAAGACGACGGCACGGUGUCUUCAAACACAAGCGGGUCAGCGGCAAGGAAAAAGAUAGCUGGCACUGGAGACGAAGUAAAGGAUGGACAAGAGGGAGCAGUCAAACUGGAUGAGGUUCUACAUGAAGCUGAAAUUGGCAAAGGUUUGGCUGGUGCUCUGAAGCUUCUUAAGGACAGAGGGACACUUGAUGAGGGUGGUGAAAAAACCAGUGACAAGAAGAAAAGCAAGCCUGUUGGUAUCAAGGAUGGACCAAAAGAAAUUCACAUAGAGAGAACUGAUGAGUUUGGUCGAGUGAUGACUAUGAAGGAGGCAUUUCGGGAGCUUUCACACAAAUUCCAUGGCAAGGGCCCUGGCAAGACGAAGCAGGAGAAACGGCAGAGGAAGUACCAGGAUGAGUUGAAAACCAAGCGGAUGAAAUCUUCCGACACGCCUUUAAUGUCCGUGGAGAAGAUGAGGGAGGCCCAAGCGCGCAGGAAAACACCAUACCUUGUUUUAAGCGGCAAUGCAAAAUCAACUUAG
rnacentral:rRNA from 1 species